GAACGCUGGCGGCGUGCCUAAUACAUGCAAGUCGAGCGAACGGACGAGAAGCUUGCUUCUCUGAUUUUAGCGGCGGACGGGUGAGUAACACGUGGAUAACCUACCUAUAAGACUGGGAUAACUUCGGGAAACCGGAGCUAAUACCGGAUAAUAUUUUGAACCGCAUGGUUCAAAAGUGAAAGACGGUCUUGCUGUCACUUAUAGAUGGAUCCGCGCUGCAUUAGCUAGUUGGUAAGGUAACGGCUUACCAAGGCAACGAUGCAUAGCCGACCUGAGAGGGUGAUCGGCCACACUGGAACUGAGACACGGUCCAGACUCCUACGGGAGGCAGCAGUAGGGAAUCUUCCGCAAUGGGCGAAAGCCUGACGGAGCAACGCCGCGUGAGUGAUGAAGGUCUUCGGAUCGUAAAACUCUGUUAUUAGGGAAGAACAUAUGUGUAAGUAACUGUGCACAUCUUGACGGUACCUAAUCAGAAAGCCACGGCUAACUACGUGCCAGCAGCCGCGGUAAUACGUAGGUGGCAAGCGUUAUCCGGAAUUAUUGGGCGUAAAGCGCGCGUAGGCGGUUUUUUAAGUCUGAUGUGAAAGCCCACGGCUCAACCGUGGAGGGUCAUUGGAAACUGGAAAACUUGAGUGCAGAAGAGGAAAGUGGAAUUCCAUGUGUAGCGGUGAAAUGCGCAGAGAUAUGGAGGAACACCAGUGGCGAAGGCGACUUUCUGGUCUGUAACUGACGCUGAUGUGCGAAAGCGUGGGGAUCAAACAGGAUUAGAUACCCUGGUAGUCCACGCCGUAAACGAUGAGUGCUAAGUGUUAGGGGGUUUCCGCCCCUUAGUGCUGCAGCUAACGCAUUAAGCACUCCGCCUGGGGAGUACGACCGCAAGGUUGAAACUCAAAGGAAUUGACGGGGACCCGCACAAGCGGUGGAGCAUGUGGUUUAAUUCGAAGCAACGCGAAGAACCUUACCAAAUCUUGACAUCCUUUGACAACUCUAGAGAUAGAGCCUUCCCCUUCGGGGGACAAAGUGACAGGUGGUGCAUGGUUGUCGUCAGCUCGUGUCGUGAGAUGUUGGGUUAAGUCCCGCAACGAGCGCAACCCUUAAGCUUAGUUGCCAUCAUUAAGUUGGGCACUCUAAGUUGACUGCCGGUGACAAACCGGAGGAAGGUGGGGAUGACGUCAAAUCAUCAUGCCCCUUAUGAUUUGGGCUACACACGUGCUACAAUGGACAAUACAAAGGGCAGCGAAACCGCGAGGUCAAGCAAAUCCCAUAAAGUUGUUCUCAGUUCGGAUUGUAGUCUGCAACUCGACUACAUGAAGCUGGAAUCGCUAGUAAUCGUAGAUCAGCAUGCUACGGUGAAUACGUUCCCGGGUCU
rnacentral:rRNA from 1 species